GGGUGUAUAGCUCAGAGGUAGAGCAUUCGACUGCAGAUCGGAAGUCCCCGGUUCAAACCCGGGUGCCCCCA
rnacentral:tRNA from 1 species